rnacentral:tRNA from 7 species
GGGGUAUUAGCUCAGCUGGUUAGAGCGCCGGCCUGUCACGUCGGAGGUCGCGGGUUCAAGUCCCGCAUAUCCCGCCA